rnacentral:misc_RNA from 1 species
AUGUCUCUCUCGACUACAAACACUGUCUCACCAGAAGAUGACAUUAACAGGUGCGAGGAGACCAUCAGGAAAGGGAUGACGAUGGGAAGGAGUAUAAAAGGAUCGGGUUCUAAAAGGCAUUGACGUCUCAGGAAAAACAUUUGCAAUCACAGGAACAACAUCUGGAAUUGGAAUAAACACAGCCGAAGUUCUGGCCUUAGCAGGAGCACAUGUCGUUUUGAUGAACAGGAACCUGCACGAGUCGGAAAAUCAGAAGAAGAGAAUUUUGGAGAAGAAGCCGAGUGCGAAAGUCGAUAUUAUUUUCUGUGACCUCAGUGACUUGAAGACAGUACGCAAAGCGGGAGAGGAUUAUUUGGCUAAAAAUUGGCCAAUCCACGGACUAAUCCUGAAUGCCGGAGUAUUCCGCCCAGCAGCUGCAAAAACCAAAGAUGGAUUCGAAUCCCAUUAUGGUGUCAAUGUAGUUGCUCAUUUUACACUUCUUCGCAUCCUUCUCCCGGUUGUUCGUCGCUCCGCUCCAUCCAGAGUAGUCUUCCUCUCCUCAACUUUGAGUUCCAAACACGGUUUCAAAAAAUCUAUGGGGAUUUCUGAAAAGAUGAGUAUUCUCCAAGGAGAAGAUUCGUCGGCGUCCACACUUCAGAUGUACGGAGCUUCAAAGAUGGCAGAUAUGUUGAUUGCAUUCAAAUUGCACAGAGAUGAGUAUAAAAAUGGAAUUAGCACAUAUUCCGUGCACCCUGGAAGUGGAGUCAGAACUGAUAUUUUCAGAAACUCCCUACUUGGAAAAUUCAUCGGAUUCGUCACCACACCAUUCACAAAGAACGCUAGUCAAGGAGCAGCAACUACAGUAUACUGUGCUACUCACCCAGAAGUUGAAAAAAUCUCUGGAAAAUAUUGGGAGUCUUGCUGGGAUAACGAUAAAAUUGAUAAGAAGACAGCUAGAGAUGAGGAGUUACAGGAAGCGUUGUGGAAGAAAUUGGAGCAAAUUGAUGAUCGAAUCAAUGGAUCAAUUGAUACCUUCUGA